rnacentral:lncRNA from 1 species
UUUGGGGAGAAGAAGAAGGAAAAAGAAAGAAAGAAAGAAGAUUGGCAACAGAUGUUAACUCAGGUGCCAAUCUUUAAAACAAACAAAAAAAUGGAUGCGCACCCCGCACCCCAAGACCAAUUAAGUCAGAACCUCGGAGGGUAGGGACUCCACCAUCCCCGGGUGGCUGCAGCCAAGUUUGAGCGAACCACUGCUGGACGGCUUUCCGCUGUAAAACCCUCCUGAGGUUUCUUUUUGUCUAAGCGGCAGGUCAUCUGAUGUUCCACUAGGUGGCACCUUCCAGCAAACUUCAGUGGGUCCAGAGAGGUCUCGUCUAGGUCUAACUGUAAGGAAAGAUUUCAGAAAACAAGGCUGGGUGGUCUUUACUGGCGACGCGGGGUCUGCGCUCUUGAUGAGAAGGCUGGACUUGUUCGUUAACAACUUGCUGGUGAGCGCUACAGCCUCAGAAGGUUAAGAUUCGUCCCUGCUGGGAAACUGAGGCCUGGAGAGAGGCAGCUCCAUCCCUUAUGGCUGGGCUGACCCAUUCACCAGUGCACUCUGGUCUCUUCCCUCCAAUGCGUCCAGCAGAAACAGCAAACCCCCACUCAAAAGUCCUCGACGAGCCCCGUUAUGGGCAGUAGGGGACAUCUGUUCUUUUUAUCUGGUCAGUUAACAACACAGUGAUUUUCCUAGGAGAUUUGCUUUCCGGGUCUUAGCUGAGACGUUGAAUCAGAGCAGACUCUGCCCUCAGCUUCUUUCUUAGCCAAUCAGAGCGCGCUAUCACCUUCUGCUACAGUGAUUGGUGCAGAGAUGGAGACUUGACCUACCCAAGGCAAAUUAGAACAAUUGCAUUUCAAUUCUGUGGUUUUUUACGUAGAGGUUAUCGGCAAGUAGUGGCCCCUUCCAGCUCUGAUUAGUGAGAGGACUGACUACGUAGAAUACAUCAAUGGGCUUCCUUGCUCUCUGUCUUCCUGUUGGGGUUGGCACUUGGAGAGCCAGGGCAGGGUUUCAGAGGGAGGAAGAAGAGCCAGGCUUAGGGCUGCACAGCACACCGCUGUUUCUAGCCCCAGGGAGCUGCACUGUCCCUUGUGCUACCUUAUACCAUGUUCCCCCCUCCUCUUGUUAAACCCUCCUCACGUUUCCCAGUGUGGGACAGCCAUCCGUUUUCUGCUGAGACCCUGACUGAAUUAAGUGAAGCUUCCUGAGAACAAAGAAACAGCACCAACAUGGAGGAAAGCGCAGCUGAGAGAUCAUCCAGUUACCCGAGCCGGCCCCUGCCGUCAUGCUUACCUCCACUCCACUCACCUCCCACAUUCAGACAAUUACCUAAUAAAGCUGAUUUUAUUGCGUCAUAAAUUUUAAAUUUAUCCUUUCCCCUCUGGCCUACUAUAUGACACAUAUUUCAGGUCUGCAAGGAGAAUCCCCGAUCAGAACCCGGCUACCUCACAUGGCCAAAUUCCCUAGCUGUGGACCAGCCUCAACCCUCAUCCAUGGCCUGGCCCUUGGCCUAGCAUUUGCCUGACCUGGAUCAAAAGGAUGAGCAGAGCCACUCAGACUCUGUCUCGGAAAUUGGAAUCAAGUGGCACAGAGGGAAGAAGGCAGCUGGUGGUGAUCCCGGAAGGUGGAAGUUCAGGCGGCGUUAGGGUGGAGAUUGUUCUUGGGCCCUCACACGAGGAGAAGUUACGGGAAAGCAGAAACCGUGAGUAACCCAGGAAGUGCAACGGUCAACAGAAGACAACGGAGCAGAGGUGCAAGGAGCAGAGAUGCUGAGAGAGAAAGCUUAGAGAUGAGGUUUCCCAGUUCCAAUCCUGGUUUCUGGGAUGCCUGCCUGGAUCCCCGCCCUGGGGCUUCUCUGAGGCUUCCUGCUAUCUACCUUUUCCCCGGAGUUGGGAGUGAGUCUCUGUCCCUUAGGACCAAAGGAGCCCUGGCCUUGAUACC